UGGCUGUGUCUUGGGGACAUCUGCUCUAACAGCAACUCUCAGGCUUUCCUCCUCUCUGGCUCAGCAGCCCCCGGGGCUGUAUUGGCCUUGGGCAAUAUGCAGGUCAGCUUCCUUCCCCCUCUUUGUUUAUUACUGAGAAGCGCCUGCCAAUAUGGGCUAUAUCUCUCUCAAAGUCUUUCAGAGCAGUGAGCCCAACUUAACUCCAAUCCUAACCCUAACCCUCUAAUCCUAACCCCCAAACCCUAAGCCUCUAACCCUAACCUCUCACCCCAAGCCAAACCCUAACACCGAACCUGAUCCCAAAGCCCAACCAGAACCCAAACCCUGACCCCUAACCCCAACCCUAAACCCUAACCCUAACCCAUCAGGUGCCUAUGGUUGUGGGAAAUGGGCCUUGCUCCUCAGGUUCUGUACAAAGAGCAUGUGGAGUCCUGAGGGUCAAGAUAGACGUGGGGCUGCAGCUCUAGCUCAUUUUCUAAUUUUAUCUGGCUCACGAGUGGGAGACUAUUUCAAGAAGACUCUCCUCAUGAGAGAAAUCCUGGAAGCAGAGAGAAGAGGGGAGGUGGGUGGAAACAGGGGCCGGGUACCCUGGUGCAUUGGAAGCCUCUGGAAGACCCACUGGAGGGAGGCUGCACGGAGAAACGUCCAGGGGCACAGACCUGCCCAGGAGCUGCUGUUAGUUCAGACACUGCUCUAAGGUGCUCAGGGUCCGCUCUAACAAGGGGGGCUGGGGGAGGGGUCUGCAGUGAGGUCUCUGUAUGUGGUUCCUGUGUGCUGGUCGCUGUCAGGGUGCCCGCCCAGGUGAGCUCCAUAUCCUGGGCAAGGCCUGCCCUCAUGAGCCCCAGGGGCUUCUGGGUUAUUGCUCAGGUGAGCUCCAUAUCCUGGGCAAGGCCUGCCCUUGUGAGCCCCAGGGGCUUCUGGGUUAUUGCCAAGGUGAGCUCCAUAUCCUGGGCAAGGCCUGCCCUUGUGAGCCCCGGGUGAUGAUGGGUGAUUGCCCAGGUGAGCUCCAUAUACAAGGCAUGAGCUGCCCUCAUGAGCCCCAGGGGCUGCUGGGUUAUUGCCAAGGUGAGCUCCAUAACCUGGGCAGGGCCUGCCCUUGUGAGCCCUGGGAACUGGGAGGGGCUUGUGAACAAGCAUCCUUUGCAGUUGGUAGAGAGUUGUUUAGUGUGAUUUUCUUGGGAGCAUUGCUGGAAUGAAAUGAGAACCAGAAAGUGCUGCACGUCCUUGGACCCCCACCCAGACUCAUCCAGAGUGACAAGUGGGAGAAAUCUAUGACAGAUAGAGCGACCAGGACCACUCCAGUCUAACACGUAGGACUCCAGUCAUUGAGCAAACAGACCAUUAUACCCAGUUACGCCACUGGGAUGUCCUGAUCCAGCAUCAAUGUCGUUACUCUGUCGAAUUCUAGAAUAAGAUUGCACUGUUACCCUAAACGUUAUUCUCCAAGGUCACCCCAACCAAAAUUGUGAGUCCAGUAAAAACUAUGUUAUUCUUUAAA